GCCGGGGUGGCCGAGUGGACUAAGGCGCAGGCCUGGAGAGCCUGUGUCCCUUCGGGGACGCGUGGGUUCAAAUCCCACCCCCGGCGCCA
rnacentral:tRNA from 1 species